AAAACAUCCGCCGCCGUCAUCAAUACAUCAGGUAACUUUUACUUUAAAUUCUUAUUAGUUUCCCUCACUAUGCCUUUACAUUUUUCUUCAGACACGGUAUUUUAAAUGUUUAUACUUUUUAAUAUUUUGCUAAUUCAAAUGUUUGAAAAACAAUUAUAGUUUGUAGACAAGGUAUUCAAGGUGAUUCUCAAUGGAUUGAAACAAACUUCGGACCAUUUGCUCACCUCACAACAUACUUGGAUUUGAAAUUCUUUAACAUUUCUGAGGUGGCCAUAUUGGACUUCAUUUCCCCUGCUCAGAUAGCUGUUUUACUUCUCGAACAAAAGAAUCUGUCAAAUGAAACUCUCGUCAUACUUGCAAUCACAAGACUCACCAAGUCAUCUUCUGUAAACGACCUUGAGUCUUUCUUUGACAAAUUUGUUAAUGGCUCCACAAAAACUCUGGAAACACUCAGCCCCAGAUUGCUUGACUUCAUUCUGAACACAACAUUAACAUCUUUAGUUCCGCAGCUGUCUGGUCUAAACGCUGAGGGCUUCAAGUUGUGGUUCCAGGUUUACUUAGCUCCUUUUCUGCCAGGUGCUAACAGUAGGACCUUUGAAAUAAUCUCAAGAAACAUCAGUUGUAACUCCUAUCGAGAAAUUGUUAAAGGGUUUGACAACAUAUUCCAUCAUCUUACUGAGGCUCAGUACCAAAGUGUUUUCAAGUUUAUUUUAGAAUAUCUCAGAGGACAAACUUUAUCAGGGUUAUCAUGCGUUACAUCUGGAAUGGAUGACAGACAAUGGCUAGAGGAUAACUUUGGACAGUUCAGAUUCCUGGCCUCCUAUCAAGAUUUUAUUUCCCUGAAAAACAAUUUCAAUGCCGUUGAAGUUGCGGAUCUUCUCACUGUCAGUCAGCUCGGGCAGCUUGCAGCAACACCCUCACAGCUAACAAGCAAGCAAGUUGUUGCAAAAAUUAUGACAGCCAUCACCCCUGCUGAAUUUGACGUUUUCUUUGACAUCGUUUCACCAGCUAUUGAAGCACAGUCAGCCAGCUACUCUGUUGAUGUGAAAUCUGCCUUCAUCCAAGCAGUUUUUGCCAGAGGAAAUCUUUCCUCCUCUGCUGUUAAUGAUGAAGAGUUCCUGCACUGGCUCACAGUUAGAUUAUGCCCUCUCUUUGUCAACCUGUCCUCAAACCUGGUGACCCCCUUAUUCCAAAUUGGAACAAGUAGAAACUGCAAUGGGAGUCAAGAGUUGAUUAAACUCCUGGACACACUAAAGAUGACAUUCACGACCAACACUGAAAAGGAGGUUUACAGAAACAUCCUCCUGUUCCUUCAAGGUUUGGAGAUAAGAUAA
rnacentral:lncRNA from 1 species